GCAUAUAUACAUAUGUAGUGAAUUUAAGGCACCUGAUCCUGUUUGAUUUUGGUUGCUAAUCAGGAUCAACCGGGUUUAAUACAAGAAAAGGAGACCAGCAAUGAAUACCAGGUGCUGUAGGCU
rnacentral:rRNA from 11 species